UACGUAGGGUCCGAGCGUUGUCCGGAAUUACUGGGCGUAAAGAGCUCGUAGGCGGUCUGUUGCGUCGGCUGUGAAAACCCGGGGCUCAACUCCGGGCCUGCAGCCGAUACGGGCAGACUAGAGUUCGGCAGGGGAGACUGGAAUUCCUGGUGUAGCGGUGAAAUGCGCAGAUAUCAGGAGGAACACCGGUGGCGAAGGCGGGUCUCUGGGCCGAUACUGACGCUGAGGUGCGAAAGCGUGGGGAGCAAACAGG
rnacentral:rRNA from 1 species